GUGCUCGCUUCGGCAGCACAUACGCAGAAAUGGAAUGAUCCAGAGAAGAUUAAUGUGGCCUCUGCACAAGGAUGACGUUGAAAUUCAUGAAGCUUUGAAAUACAUU
ensembl:snRNA U6 U6 spliceosomal RNA